AAUGAACGUUGGCGGCGUGGAUUAGGCAUGCAAGUCGUGCGAGAAUCCCCCUUCGGGGGGAGGAAAGCGGCGAAAGGGAGAGUAACGCGUGGAUACCUACCUUCAGGAUCGGGAUAGCUGCGGGAAACUGCAGGUAAUACCGAAUAACAUCUCCGGAUCAAAGGUGUGAUUCCGCCUGAAGACGGGUCCGCGUCCUAUUAGCUAGUUGGUGGGGUAACGGCCUACCAAGGCGACGAUGGGUACGGGGCGUGAGAGCGCAACCCCGCUCACUGGGACUGAGACACUGCCCAGACACCUACGGGAGGCAG
rnacentral:rRNA from 1 species